CUACACAAGUGUUCUUUUCUAAAAAAUGGUCGAACUCCGACCGACGGGCCCCUUAGGCUUCGUCUUGUUCGGGUUUAAAUAAGAACUGCUUAUUUCAGGAAUAGGUACAAGUUCAGGAAUAAGAGACAACUAGACCAAUUUUGUGUUUGGAUGAAAAUUAAGUUGUUCCCGGGAAUAAGAAAAAUACUGUUUGGAUAGAUAAAACGGAAUAAGAAGAAUAAUGGAUAGUUAUAAAUAAAAAAUAAUUAUAUUACCCUCUUAUUAUAUUUGGAUUUAAAUUUUUAAAUUUUAUAUUUAUAGUUUUAAAUUUAAAUUUUUUACUUUUAAAUUUUAAAAUUUGAAAUUUAAAUUUAAAAUUUAAAUCUUCAAAUUUAAAAAUUUUAAAAUUUUAAAUUUUAAAUUUUAAAUUUUAAAUUUAAGACGGAAUUAAAUUUGAAAGAUAUAAAAUAUCAAAUUUAAAAUUUAAAAAUUUAAAAUAUAAAAUUUAAAAUUUUAACUUUAAAAUUUAGAAUUUUAAAUUCUAAAUUUUAAUUUUCAGUUUACAAAUUUUAAAUUUUAAAAUUUAGAUUCUAUUUUAAAACAAAACUCUCUCUCUCUCUCUCUCUCUCUCUACA
rnacentral:lncRNA from 1 species